rnacentral:rRNA from 1 species
UACGUAGGUGGCAAGCGUUGUCCGGAUUUACUGGGCGUAAAGGGCGCGUAGGCGGCUUUUUAAGUCAGACGUGAAAUCCCCCGGCUUAACCUGGGAACUGCGUCUGAUACUGGGAAGCUUGAGUUCGGGAGAGGGAUGUAGAAUUCCAGGUGUAGCGGUGAAAUGCGUAGAUAUCUGGAGGAAUACCGGUGGCGAAGGCGGCAUCCUGGACCGAAACUGACGCUGAGGCGCGAAAGCUAGGGGAGCAAACGGG